UCCUCUAAGAUCAAAGGUGCACCCUUUCAGCACUCCUAUUCAUCAUAGUAUUUGAAGUCCUUGCCAGAGCAAUCAGGCAAGAAAAAGAAAUAAGGCAUUCAAAUCGGAAAGGAAGAAGUAAAAUUUCUCUUGCUAUCGGAAGCCAUGUUGUCUGAGGUCAAACCUUUACAGGACAGCCUGCAUCUGGUGACUGAGCAAAGCAGGAGUAUAAAAGCUUGGCCACUUUGACUUGACGUGGGCAAUUACGACCAGCAAUAUUUGCUCUAGACCCCCUCAUUGGGUUAGCUAAGGUUUUAUAGGGGCUGCACUUCAGUUUGACUUCUCUCCCCAAUCCUACUCCCUCCCUUUGAAUCCCUUUAUUGGGACUCAACAAUAUUUUGUACCUCAAACUCCACGUUGGGUGUCUGCUUCUGAAGAACCCAACUAGUGACAUUUUGCCUCCCAUCUUUAUACUAGUUGUAUUACAAUUCCAGGUCUAACCACCAUUUCAAGAAAAAUUAGCUUAGCAAAUUCAAAAUAAUUGAAGAUGUACGGUGAAUAAAAGUAAGUGUAGUGACCUUCUUGGCUUGUUGCUCCUGCCCUUCCUUACGCCUGCCAACUAUGCCACUAACUUGGCCCCAGUUAGGAUUCUGGGCUCAACCCUCCCUUAAGCAAGUCCUUGUUCUCCAGAUCUAAGUAAUGAGGUCCUCACAUUCAUUUAUGACUAAGCCCCCACCUUGUGUCUUAUUUCCAGUAACUACUCUGUCUUGUGCCCCAUAUGGUUGUUUACCCCAUGUGGUUCUGGGCUGCUGUGUUGCAUUCCUGGAGCACAGAGAUGAAAGCACCUGUUCUCUUCUAGUUCUCCUUACAUUCGUACAUAAUUUCCCAUAAUGUGAUACUCUGUUUUCACAUAAAACAUGGCAACAUGGAGGUGGUUCUACUUUUCCGCUGCAUGGACUUUUCUUUCCUCCCUUGUUUAGUCUCCCCUGUCUUCUCCUUCUCCGCCCCCUCCUCCUCCUUUUAUUUUCUUCCUCCUCCUCUUCCCUCUUCUCUUCCAGCAAUUAUUGACUCCUUCUUCAUGUCAGGAGAACAUGCUUAGACAGAAAUGAAAGGCCUGGUCCCUUCUCUCAGGGAGCUCCCCGUCCAUGGGGGGAAUUCAGGGAAGUAAUCCUGUGGUCUCCACGUGAGCACGCAGCACUGUGUUCGCAUGGGCUGGAAGCUCCCUGGGAGCAGCCGUGCAGCUUCCGGAGGGGUCGAGGCCUGGCUGGGUGCUGACAACCGGGAGGAAUGUGGUGAUGUUUGCUUCUGGAUUCCUUUCUACAUUUGUGCUUGAAGUUUUGGGAAGUCUAACCUUCAGGUGGCAGAAAAUCCAACUUCAUCUUGGGUCUGAACGACCUCACCUCAAAAAUCCCAGGAAGAGAUGUGUUAAUCAAAGAAGUCCAGUAGUACAUCGAGUGUCUCCGAAUUUCCUUGUGGCUUUUAAGUAUAUACAUGCAUAUUUCUUCAUCACACAUGAAACUCUGCAUUUUGAAAGAGUAAUGAUAUGUCUGAGUCAGAGCACAGUUCAUCAAAAGUUGCCAUUCUUCAAACCUGAGAUUUAACAGCUUGGGGCAUAUUCUGAGGAUGCUUAGUGCCAGCAUCCUUUCCUCCCUCUAAAUAUUUUCGUGUUCUCCACCCUCCAGGCUAUGGUUGCUGGAUACUGCCCUGCCGUUCCCAGAAACCUCCAGAUCAUGCUGGAAUUCACUCUGGAAGACUUGAAGGUGCUUCUACAAGAUACACGUGGCCAUUUCCUGUCUGUAACAGGCUUAACGUGUCUCUCCAGAAGACCCAGGCCCUCCUUCAGGGCUCGGCUGGAGCGCUUCCUCCUCUGGAAAGUCUCCCCUGCCCUGCUCCGUUAAGGUGAUUUCCUCAGUCAUUGUUUGUACCACACAACUCGUUUCAUCGGCCCACACUGGAUCCCGUCCUCGCAGUCCCCAUAUUCCUCCACUCCUGUUGCCCCUUGGAGGCAGGAGCUGAGACUUUAACUCUUCAAUCAAUGGCCCCAACAUAGUGCAGUGCACAGCACAUGACUAUGGACUAGCUGAGCCUCCAUAACCCUGGGCAAUCCUCUGGGAUGUGAAGAUAUCAUUCCAUAACAUUAUUGGAAAACACCAUUUUUCAUAUGUGCUUUCAAAUAUGUCUUGUCCUGAGAAGAGGCCAGCCUGUAAAAGGUCAGAUUCAAAGGGACUGGAUUAGGGAGUUUGCAGCUCUGACAUACCGUGAUCUAAGUGCUAAGCAACCUGGAAGGAGCAGGAAGGAGAGUCAACGAGGCUGUUAUCUAGGGGAGUGAAGAGGUUGGAGGAAACCUGAUACUCCAACUCUCCCUAACUCACCCACGUGGCCCAAUCUAACUAAGCACUCUUAAUAUCAGAACCUUUAAACAAAACAAAACCAAAAUAAGGCCCCUUUGUUGGUGCAAAUAAUAAAGAAAGAAGCAAAGACAUCAAUCUACACUCUCCCUAAUCUCCCUGGAUCUUGUCCAGGGUGGAUGUGGCUGUUGACAGACAUGAUGGUGAUGACCUCUCGGGUUGGGUCUUCCCAGUUCCUGGACUCUCCACCUCCAGAGACUUCAGCACAUCUUCCCAUCAAGCAGAAUGCAGGGUGCAGGGUGCAGGGGUGCCACUAUGGGGCAAGGGCUCAUUUCUCUUACAGUGUUUUUCUUCCCUGGGUAGUUACUCCAGAAGCUGGUACUCAUUUCUCAUCGGCAGAUACAUACCUAAGGCUCACUUAGUAGAAGCAGGGGUCUAAAUCUCAUUGGCUCGACUGCUUUAUCUUCCUUAGUAAGUCUGACAAAACACUGGAACUAAAAUAAUCUUGUGCAAGUACCUAAUGCCCAGUAUAACGCUGAUAUUUUGCUUGUUGUUCACAAUACUUGACCCACAUAAACAAAACAAUCCCUUGUCCUCUUUCUUUAUCUACUAAGGCAUAAUGAUAAUCACAAACAAUAUUUUAACAAAUUCCUUUUACACUUUGAUAAGAAGGAAAUCAGAGAGGAGACCUGUUUUUGAAUUGGUCAGUCCCAGGGACUUCAGAUGUGGCGUGAGUAGGAGAAGGAGAUUUUUGGGCGUCUGGAAUAGCACGAGCAGAGGGGUGAAUAAAGGGCUGUCACAGGAAACAGGAUAGAGUCUAUUAUUUGGCUGGUUGGCUGUGUAGGACAUAAAGCUGGAAAGGCAGGCUGGGGUCAUAUUGUAUGAACUGGGUGGGCAGUGAGUGAUCCAUUGGAUGACACAAUUGGUUCUAUGACUUAGAGAGGUUAAUUUGAUGGCGGUAUGUAGACCCACGUAAUCUAUUACCGUCUCAACUCCAACAACAGAAUGCUGCGCCCUGGUGGAGAAGUUUUUAUAAAUUUGUAGAUAGCACUAAAAAUGCAUUGUCUUCCAUCUCAGCAGGUGGGUCAUUCUAGCUUAGCAGUCCUUCUGUGUGCCAUCAGUCUGUCCCUCAUCUGUUCCCAAUAGGAAACUGUUUCUCCUUUAAAAACUGUUUCCUUAUGGCCCUUGGAAAUUUCUUAUUUAGUAGGUCUGAUUAAAACCAUUACUAUAAGCAGUGGGAAAACAUUAAAAAAAUCAUAAGCAAAGGAACGCCUUUAAUUUGCAUUUGAGAAUGUUCACUUAAGGUGCAGAGUGAGGAAAGGAU